CCGAGGCCCCUCCCGACAACCAAGGCCCCGCCGCCCACCCGAGCCGAGCAGGAGGAGGAUGGUGGAGGAUGGAUGCCGCCCGGCGACGAGGACCGCGCGCGCCCGGGUCGCCGCCGCCGCCGCAGGACCUUCUGCUGAGCCAGCUGUGCUUCCUGGCCUCGGUUGCGCUGCUGCUCUGGUCGCUGUCGAGCCUGAGGGAGCGAAAGGAGCUUGACCUCAUGGACCUCAUAGGAGAAGACAGAAAGUGGAUGGUGGGGAGGAAGCUAAUGCAGAUCAAUGACACACUGGCCUCUGAAGAUGUGGGCCUCCGGAUCAGCAAGAACUGCACAGAGCCAGGUAAGACCGGUGCCUGCAUGCUGGGCCAUGGCUGCUGUUUUCUUUUCUGGUUAUGGUC
rnacentral:lncRNA from 1 species